GGCCCGGUCGUCUAUCGGUCCAGGACGCCACUCUCUCACAGUGGUAAGGCGGGUUUGACUCCCGUCCGGGCUA
rnacentral:tRNA from 1 species